rnacentral:rRNA from 1 species
AAUCAACGCUGGCGGCGUGCCUCAGACAUGCAAGUCGAACGAUUAAAGCUCCCUUCGGGGAGUGCAUAGAGUGGCGCACGGGUGAGUAACACGUAAGUAAUCUACCCUCGGGUGGGGAAUAACGUUCGGAAACGGACGCUAAUACCGCAUAAUGCAGCGGCACCGCAAGGUGACAGUUGUUAAAGAUUUAUUGCCUGGGGAGGAGCUUGCGGCAGAUUAGCUUGUUGGUAAGGAACGGCUUACCAAGGCUACGAUCUGUAUCCGGUCUAAGAGGACGGUCGGACACACUGACACUGAAUAACGGGUCAGACUCCUACGGGA